GACGAACGCUGGCGGCGUGCCUAAUACAUGCAAGUAGAACGCUGAAGAGAGGAGCUUGCUCUUCUUGGAUGAGUUGCGAACGGGUGAGUAACGCGUAGGUAACCUGCCUUGUAGCGGGGGAUAACUAUUGGAAACGAUAGCUAAUACCGCAUAACAAUGGAUGACACAUGUCAUUUAUUUGAAAGGGGCAAUUGCUCCACUACAAGAUGGACCUGCGUUGUAUUAGCUAGUAGGUGAGGUAACGGCUCACCUAGGCGACGAUACAUAGCCGGCCUGAGAGGGUGAUCGGCCACACUGGGACUGAGACACGGCCCAGACUCCUACGGGAGGCAGCAGUAGGGAAUCUUCGGCAAUGGGGGCAACCCUGACCGAGCAACGCCGCGUGAGUGAAGAAGGUUUUCGGAUCGUAAAGCUCUGUUGUAAGUCAAGAACGAGUGUGAGAGUGGAAAGUUCACACUGUGACGGUAGCUUACCAGAAAGGGACGGCUAACUACGUG
rnacentral:rRNA from 1 species